UUCUGGCAUCGUCAAAAUUUUGUUUAGAUUGAAGAAAUUUUGUUUAGGGUUUUCUCGUCGGCCAUCCCAGAGUCAAAAUUUCUUCAAUGAAAACAAAAAUUUGAUCUCCAUUUCGCCAUGGAUUUCCAUACUUCGUCAAGGAGAGAGUUCCGAAUAAGAUUUCGGCCAAUAUCACUAAUGUCGCCAUGGCCGACGCUCUUGCUGCUCGAUCUUCAACCCCUGAGUCAUCUUCUUCCCUGCUAAAGGAAUCGAGGAGUUUUUGUACGGUGAUAGAGCCUGAAUCGUUUUUUGAUUCUGUACUUUAAUCGUGUUGAAGGAAUCAAGGAGUUUUUGCACCUUGACAGAUCUGGAAUAGCUGAAUCGCCGAUAGAGGUUAUUUCCUCGGGAAUUCCACGAAUUGCAUCGAGAACUUCGAAAAGAAGAAAGGCCCCUCAAAGAUGAAGCAAUUACUACUCGAUCACAUUGAGAACUUCAAAAAGAAAAAAGGCCCUCUAUAAUGAGGCAAAUCACGCCUAAGUGCAGCUUGAGUUUAGGGGGAGAUCUGAAAAUGGAACCAAUUACUGUCCACAUAUCGUUCAAUGAUAUGCCCAACAGUUCAGAAACUCGUGAAGGAAAGUAUGGAAUUAGAAAAUGAAACCAAUUAUUGUUCAUAUGUCUAUUGGUGUGACAGGUCUAACAGUUCAGAAUCCGUGAAGGAAAAUAGCAUCAACUUCCUCUUUAGUACAGCUAAGUUCGGACCAAACCCACCUUCAAAUUUUCCCCCAUAGCUCCAGACUCCAAAAUUUCACAGGAAGAAGAAGACACAGUAGGAGUACCAGCAGAGAAAACAUGACCAUUCCCCUCUUGAGAUGGAACAAGAGAACCCCCAUUCUUAUCUCUUCCAUCAUGGCUUUUUCUGUGCUUAAUCACAAAAACCUCCUUCUUCACAGGGUACUCACUUCUUUCUUCUUUCCUCUCACCAUUUUCCUCCCCUGUUUUGUUGCAGUUCUUAAGUUGCACAUCAGUGGUAGGAGGCUGACAAAUUGGAAUGAUGGGUUUGGUGCAACCGUUAGAAGAGGUGGGAUCUGGAGGUGAAGGUACAGAGGUGGAAGAAAUUCAAGGUAAAGUCUUCUUAUUUUUGCUCAAACAAGCACCCAUUAGAGAUAUUGAGAAGACCCAACAAUGGAAAUUCUCUAAAGAAGUAGGAAGAAAGAAGAGGUUGGUGAGUUUUUGAGAUACUUUAAUUUCGAUUUAUCUUUUGGCUUCCUUGCAUUUUUGUAUUAUGGAUUAUGGUGAAAUUUUGAGUUUCUGCUUUUUUUUUUUUUUUUUUUCUUUUUUGUCCUUUUUUUGUCCAAUUACUGUCAUGUUGUUCGAUGAUAUGCCUAACAGAUCAGGUUUGCAUUUGUUGAUUUCCUUGUUCUUUUUUGUUUUGUAUAUAGAUCUGUUUAGUUGAAAUUUUUUAUUAUUGAUAGCAAUUGGUGCAGAACUCAGUGAAGGAAAGUAAGGAAUUAGAAAAUGAACCCAAUAAAAGACCUCACCAUUGUAAAAGACCUCACCAGCUUUCCCUCUCAGUUGAUCAUUAAUUGGUGUGGAACCCGUGAAGGAAAAUACAGAAUUGGAAACUGAGUUUAGGUUUCAGUCUAGGAAAACCGAUGAAUCAGGUAGCAAAUUAGAUGGAGAUCAAUCGAGUGUGUAUGUUGAUGAUGGAGAGAAGAAUAAGAUGGAGUCUGAAGCUACUCUCAAAGGAGAAACCAGAAAUGGUUCUUGAUGAUCUAUUAAAAUCUAGUUACUGCAAAGAAGCACCACAUGCUAAUUUGGAUGUGAAAUACUUCUCUGAAAUGAAAAGUAAAUAAAGCUUCCAAAAGGAAGAUUCUGUGAAGACUUUUGCCGAGGAAAUCAAAGAUUGCCAUUGUAAAAAAACCUCGCACCUGCUUUCCCUCUCAGGCUUCCACUACCAUUUCCCUAUUGGGAAAAGUCAAUAAUGCUAAAGAAUCCUCCUUGUCCUCCUUGGAUUACCUUUUCUUCACACUGUGUCUUAUAAUAUAUAUAUAUCUUAUUCCAAAUAUAUGCUUGUAUAUAAAAAAAAUGGAACCGAUUACUGUCCACAUGUGAUAUGCCUAACAGUUCAGGUUUGCAUUUGUUGAUUUGUAUAUAGAUCUGUUUAGUUGAAAUUUUUUAUUAUAGCAAUUGGUGCAGAACUCAGUGAAGGAAAGUAAGGAAUUAGAAAAUGAAACCAAUUAUUGUUCAUAUGUCCAUCGGUGACAUGUCUAACAGUUCAGGUUUGCAUCUUGCGAUUGUCUUGUUCUUUUUUGCUUUGCACAAAAAUAUGUUUAGUCAAGAAGUUUGAUGAAUGAUAACAAUUGGUGUGGAACCCGUGAAGGAAAAUGCAGAAUUGGAAACUGAGUUUAGGUUUCAGUCUAGGAAAACCGAUGAAUCAGGUAGCAAAUUAGAUGGAGAUCAAUCGAGUGUGUAUGUUGAUGAUGGAGAGAAGAAUAAGAUGGAGUCUGAAGCUACUCUCAAAGGAGAAACCAGAAAUGGUUCUUGAUGAUCUAUUAAAAUCUAGUUACUGCAAAGAAGCACCACAUGCUAAUUUGGAUGUGAAAUACUUCUCUGAAAUGAAAAGUAAAUAAAGCUUCCAAAAGGAAGAUUCUGUGAAGAUUUUUGCCGAGGAAAUCAAAGAUUGCCAUUGUAAAAAAACCUCGCACCUGCUUUCCCUCUCAGCACCACAUGCUAAUUUGGAUGUGAAAUACUUCUCUGAAAUGAAAAGUAAAUAAAGCUUCCAAAAGGAAGAUUCUGUGAAGAUUUUUGCCGAGGAAAUCAAAGAUUGCCAUUGUAAAAAAACCUCGCACCUGCUUUCCCUCUCAGCACCACAUGCUAAUUUGGAUGUGAAAUACUUCUCUGAAAUGAAAAGUAAAUAAAGCUUCCAAAAGGAAGAUUCUGUGAAGAUUUUUGCCGAGGAAAUCAAAGAUUGCCAUUGUAAAAAAACCUCGCACCUGCUUUCCCUCUCAGCACCACAUGCUAAUUUGGAUGUGAAAUACUUCUCUGAAAUGAAAAGUAAAUAAAGCUUCCAAAAGGAAGAUUCUGUGAAGAUUUUUGCCGAGGAAAUCAAAGAUUGCCAUUGUAAAAAAACCUCGCACCUGCUUUCCCUCUCAGCACCACAUGCUAAUUUGGAUGUGAAAUACUUCUCUGAAAUGAAAAGUAAAUAAAGCUUCCAAAAGGAAGAUUCUGUGAAGAUUUUUGCCGAGGAAAUCAAAGAUUGCCAUUGUAAAAAAACCUCGCACCUGCUUUCCCUCUCAGGGCUCCACAAUAACCAUUCCCCAAUUUAGGGGUCAAUAAUGCUAAAGAAUCCUCGUCCUCCUUGAACAUCCUUCGUGACUAAACUGCACCUAUGAAAGAGUGACCAUAUGAGACUUAUUCAACUUCUCCUGCACUUAUUGAAGUGAUCAUACUAAUCGAUGGAAGAAGACUCAUGACUGAGGCUUCGACCCGAAACCUCAUUUUUCUGUCAUAUUCUGACUGUUCCAGUUGGUUUCGUACUGCCCGUACUACAAGAAUCUAUUGGAUCAAUAAAGCCACAUAGCAAUUGAUUGAAUUAGACUUUCUGUAGACUCCUCAAGCUUGAUUAUAUUGUAAUUACCAAGCUUUAGUUACCAAUUUGAUUGUAUUUGUCUCUUUGGAAAACAUUCGAUAGACUCCUUGUACUACUGUUUUCUACGUUUACGUUAACUGAAACUUCUAUAUUGUUAUUGUAAUAAACUAUAUGUGUUAUCAGAUUUAAAGAAGCUAUAGAAAACAUGUAUAUGGAUUAUGUGGGAAUAAAUAUAUACACCAUCCUAUACAUCA